rnacentral:rRNA from 1 species
GGGCAGCAUUUUAGUUUGCUUGCAACUAAAGAUGGCGACCGGCGCACGGGUGAGUAACACGUAUCCAACCUGCCGAUAACUCGGGGAUAGCCUUUCGAAAGAAAGAUUAAUAUCCGAUGGUAUAUUAAAACCGCAUGGUUUUACUAUUAAAGAAUUUCGGUUAUCGAUGGGGAUGCGUUCCAUUAGUUUGUUGGCGGGGUAACGGCCCACCAAGACUACGAUGGAUAGGGGUUCUGAGAGGAAGGUCCCCCACAUUGGAACUGAGACACGGUCCAAACUCAUACGGGAGGCAGCAGUGAGGAAUAUUGGUCAAUGGACGAGAGUCUGAACCAGCCAAGUAGCGUGAAGGAUGACUGCCCUAUGGGUUGUAAACUUCUUUUAUAUGGGAAUAAAGUAUUCCACGUGUGGGAUUUUGUAUGUACCAUAUGAAUAAGGAUCGGCUAACUCCGUGCCAGCAGCCGCGGUAAUACGGAGGAUCCGAGCGUUAUCCGGAUUUAUUGGGUUU